rnacentral:rRNA from 1 species
UACGUAGGGUGCAAGCGUUGUCCGGAAUCAUUGGGCGUAAAGAGCUCGUAGGCGGUUUGUCGCGUCUGCUGUGAAAUCUGGGGGCUCAACCCCCAGCCUGCAGUGGGUACGGGCAGACUAGAGUGCGGUAGGGGAGAUUGGAAUUCCUGGUGUAGCGGUGGAAUGCGCAGAUAUCAGGAGGAACACCAAUGGCGAAGGCAGAUCUCUGGGCCGUAACUGACGCUGAGGAGCGAAAGCAUGGGGAGCGAACAGG